GCUUCGGCCCACCUCCCUGAGCACGCCCGAAUCUCGUCUGAUCUCGGAAGCUGAGCAGGGUCGGGCCCGGUUAGUACUUGGAUGGGAGACCGCCUGGGAAUACCUGGUGCUGUAAGCC
rnacentral:rRNA from 1 species